rnacentral:piRNA from 1 species
UCCAGGGGUNUGUUAGAGGCAGGAGG